rnacentral:rRNA from 1 species
AUUGAACGCUGGCGGCAGGCCUAACACAUGCAAGUCGAGCGGAGCGGCAGACGGGUGAGUAAUGACUAGGUAUCUGCCUGGUCGUGAGGGAUGAGGUUCGAAAACGGGCACUACUGCCACAUACUCUCUGCUGAGCCUUGGUCGGAGUAGGUAGUUGGUGGGGUAGAGGCCUCACAAGACGACGAUCCGUAACUGGUCUGAGAGGAUGAUCAGUCACACUGGAACUGAGACACGGUCCAGACUCCUACGGGAGGCAGCAGUGGGGAAUAUUGGACAAUGGGCGAAAGCCUGAUCCAGCCAUGCCGCGUGUUUGAAGAAGGUUUUCGGAUUGUAAAGUACUUUAAGUUGGGAGGCGUUACCAGCAGAAUAAGCACCGGCUAACUUCGUGCCAGCAGCCGCGGUAAUAC